rnacentral:tRNA from 1 species
GCUGGCGUGGUGUAGUGGUUAUGGUACACGCGCGUUUUGAAAACAUUUUUGCUCAGGGACAUGGGUUCGAACCCCGUCAGCGGCA